CCUCCUUUUUUGGCAUGCAUGUUGUUUCCCCGUACUCCAGUGUGUAUGUGUGGAGGGACACAGGUGCAGUGCUAUGUCUUCGGUGCCAGGAUGUUUCUUGUCUUGUGGUUCUAUCCUCAAUCACUGGUACGCAA